rnacentral:lncRNA from 1 species
GAAAAUGUUUGUGGUUCGAAAAAGCAGAGUGAUUCUGAAAACAAAACACAACAAAAAAAUAGUAAGUUUUUUGUGCUUGUAGAAUAAAGUGGUGAAUCAAUUUAAAAAAGAACUUUGGCAGCCUAUCAAGGAAUCAAGACUGCAUCUUCAUUUACAUUCACCUAAUAUAUAAAACCCACAGGUUAUUCUGCAUGUUCAGAUGAGCCAAAUCUUGGCACUAACCCCUUUAAUGAGCAUUGUAAGUAACAGUGAAAUAUAUCUGAUUUGCUUCCCGGUCUCCAGUAGAAUUAAUAAACAGUGAGAAAGUCAAGAUGAAGACAAUAUAAACAUAACCCCC